UUUGUUUCUAAGAAGUCAACUUAGAUUUUCAAAAAAAUGUAGGACUAUCUUUUGUUUUUCCUCUCUUUUACUUCGAUGAUUUUCCUACUGUGAAGCUUUUCUUGUAUAGAGCUCAAUUUCUCUAUGACCACGGAAGUAAGCAUCCUGAUGCAUUCUUGUCAUGUGAAUGUUGAGAGCGUGUUCAUUUUUGAAAUCUCCUUUCUGACAGACCUAUUUCACAGGAUCAGCUGAGAUGUUAUUUCACUGGAUUAUUUAAUGGAUAGACUUAUUGGGCAUAUAGUUGGAUAUCUCUGUCAUCAACAUGGAAGAUAUGUUUUGUUCCUAACCAUCUAUAAUCAAUUCUCUAUGAAGUUCAGACUGUCUGCUCUUCCUUUGGAAAUACAGUUAUAGUCAACCAACAUAGAAACACACAAACUUGAAGUCGGGUUCGGGUUCGGCGGCCAUGGCGAAUCUCGGCAAGAUUUUACCCCAGUGAAACAGGCUUGUAAUCCACCGUUCCUCAACCUGGAAGAUAUGUUUUGUUCCUAACCAUCUAUAAUCCAUUCUCUAUGAAAUGAAGCGUGCUGGCUGCUGGUCUUCCUUCGGAAAUACACAGGGAAAGAAAACUACUUGAGUGUUUCUACUGCCCCCGAGAUCUGCUUAUGAGUGCAUGGGGAUUGUGGUGGACCUUCUCUCCUGUUUAAAUAUACUUUGGAGGCUGGCGCAUGAAUCUUCAUUCACAAAAGGUAUCAACAGUAUGACUGUGGAAGUUCCAUUAUUCUUGGGAGUUAUGCCCAGCAACACAAACCAAUCAUGUCCAGCACGUACAUUGGAUCUGCUAACUUUACUUUAGGAUGCCUAGGAUUUUGAAAAUUCAGCAUGUUCAGGAAAUAAGACAUUUUAAUUGGUGAAUGAAGGAGAGAAAAAUUGCAAGGGAGGAGGUGUAUAGUUUACAUGGUGUAUUUUAAGUACUAUGACUAGGGUGAAGAAGGGGAUUUCACUUGGUUAACUGAGGCUUGGUUAACUGAGGAACAGAAACAACACAGCUCUGUGGUAUGGAUUAUUUAUGAAGAGUUAUCACAGGUCUGCAUAAACAGAUGAUUAACAGAUGAUUAAUACCUGGCCAUACCAAGUUUGAACCUGACCAUCCCCAUUUUGGAGUAUAGAAGCUAAAUUGGAGAAAGUUAAAUAAAGGAAUUUUAGCAGAGGGGAAAUUUAUUUUAUCAGAGAUAGCACAUUCUGUUCAUCAGUCAAGGAAACAUAUACACAGCCUUCUACAUAUUGUCCAGGACCAGAAGAAGCCAGUGGUGUUUUAUAAUUGAAAACCUCAGUGACAUCUCUUCAGAAUUUUUUCUAGACCUUUGAAAUUUUAACUAAAAAUCACAACAUUUAUAUAUAAAUAUAUAUCACAGAUUAAAAUUGUUAAGCUGUACAAAAGUUAUCAUUCCAGGAAAUUUGAAAAAAUACUGAUGCAUCUAUACUCACAUUAAAAACAUUUUAAUUGUUUAAUAUUGUUUUUUUUUUUGCUUGAGGGGAUGAG